AAUGGAAUAGGAAUAUCUGGUACUGUUAGAUGUAGCAGAAGUAAAUAUGCCUGUGGGGGGAGGGGUUGACUUUAAUAUGAUUUUUUUUUUUUUUUUUUUUUGGGCUCAGGAGCAGGCUGGCUUUGAUCGCAGGGGAUCUGAGUGUGAAUCCUCUUCCAUCACAAUGUUCCUGUGUGGCUCUGCGCAGGGCACCUCACCUGUCUCAGCCUCACACCCUUCUACCCACCAAGGAUGGAGACAGGUUGAGAGGAUUGCUAAUCAAAACACCGAAAAUGCUCCACAAUCUGAAACUUCCUGAGCACUGACGUGACAUCAUAAGUGGAAAACUCUGUACCUGACCUCAGCUGACGCAUUGUGAUCUAUACACCGGUGCACGAAAAAUACUGCAUGAAGUUAUUUCGGGGCUACGUGCAACAGGUGCAGACGAUACAAAAAUGAGUUUUGUCUUUAGACUCGGGUCCCAAAUAUUUCCAAAUGUGAUGAAAGCCCACAUCCCAAACAUUUCUGGCCCCAAGCACUUCAGACAAAGGACACUCAAGCGGAACCCUAGUCCCAUCCCCAUGUGUUAUAUACGUGUGGUCCCAAUUUGCCACCUGUCCCACUGACCUCUCCCCCUGCUCCUGAGUCGGGCCACACUGCCUUCAUCAUUACACUGUGAUGUCAUGAUGUCAUGAUGACACAGCAGGGCCUGUGAGCUGGAGAGCGAGGCUGUCCACGUUCUCUCUCUUUCUGGAAUUGCUGCCCUACACAGAAGCCACGUCCCUGGGGUAGAGCAUCGGCCCCUUUCUUAGUCUCUGCCAGGCCCUUUCCUGAUCUUGCUCUCAGAGUCUCAUCUCUUGCAGCUCCUUCCGUGCCUUCUGCACUGUCCAUUCCGGAGGCUUCCAGAGUUAGCGGACCUCUCAGGGGCCAGGUUUCCCUGCCUAUGGGAUGGGCCCAGCAGACAGGACGCUCGGAGCAUCACUGCGGAGGAAGGGAACCAUUCAUGAGGAGGGCCCGCUUUAUGCUAGGAGAGGGACAGGAGAGGGCAAACAGCACAGCACCGUAAAUCGAAACUUCCCAGCUACACCCUGCAGCGACCCCCGAAGCGGGCAGAAUAAUUAAUUUUCCAAAGUCUUCAUUUAGAAAGGCAUUGACUCCUCAAUUGAAUUCCAUUUAUCCCCAAGUAGGAGAGGCCAUGCUCUAAGAAAACUCAAUAAAUGAAAACUACAACUCACUCACAGAUACCUUGGUGAGACUCUCUGCUUGAAUUUUAAAGACUCUGCCUCAGACAUUGGACCCACCGAUCGUGUUUCUAGAAGCACGUUCGUUUUGUAGCGAGGUUCCUGUAGCAUCCGUCCUGAGAACCCUUAGCAGAAGGGGUGUCUCCAGUUCAUCAGAAUUACCAAGCGACUUUCCGCCCUCCUAAACCAGCAGCUACUCAAUGAAUGAGACUUUCCUGCCGCUGCCUUCUUCCUGGCUCGACCUCACCCCAGGGAUCUCUCCGCAGGAGCUUUCCAGAAUCUCCCAACUCCAGCGCCAAGGGUCUGGGUGGGGUGAAUGCGGCUCCUCCCUACCCCCAGAGGACCUCGCAGAACAAUGGAGAGCAGGGAUCCAGCGCUGGGCUGGCGUGGUGACGCCCUGAAUGCAGAGCGGAGAUGCUGCCCUGGCCCCAGCCCUGCCCUUGCAGGUCAGACCGAUGGAGCCAUUUAGUGAUCAGGGGCAGGGGCUGGCGUGGGAUUCGAGCCAAGAGAUGAUGUGGAGAGGCAG
rnacentral:lncRNA from 1 species